rnacentral:lncRNA from 1 species
GGGGAUGGGCAUGUUUUCUGGAUAGUUCCACUGCCUCUGCCCCACUGCAUGCAAGCCUGGUCAGCCUGGUGAGGGAGGGCAUGCUCAGGCCCCCACCAGCCCCGGGCCUGCUGUCCUUCAGUGGCCUGUGUUCUCAAGACACGGGUGCAUCUCCGUCACCCACUACCCACCCAGUCACAAACACCUGGGGCGGGAAGGAAAGCAGGUCAGCACGGCUGAAGCCAGCAAAUUUGUUGUGUUCUCUGGGCCUUAGCAGUCACGACCUUGGACCACGAGAUGUGUCCUUGUCGCAUUUAUUUAAAGAGUGGAAAUCUGAAAGGUGCAUUAGAAAUCGUUCUAUUUAUAGAGUCCCUCUAAAUACACUGCGGUGGAAGAUGGCCAAGAGCUAUUGUGAAGUGAAAGUAGGAACUGGAAAACGGUGAGCUCAGCAUGAUCUCA